GGCCCUUCCUGACCCUUCAUGGCCCUUCCUGACCCUGCAUGGCCCUUCCUGACCCUUCCUGACCCUUCAUGGCCCUUCCUGACCCUUCAUGACCCUUCAUGGCCCUUCCUGACCCUUCAUGGCCCUUCAUGACCCUUCCUGACCCUGCAUGGCCCUUCAUGGCCCUUCCUGACCCUUCAUGACCCUUCAUGGCCCUUCCUGACCCUUCAUGACCCUUCAUGGCCCUUCCUGACCCUUCAUGGCCCUUCAUGACCCUUCCUGACCCUGCAUGGCCCUUCAUGACCCUUCAUGGCCCUUCCUGACCCUUCAUGGCCCUUCCUGACCCUUCAUGACCCUUCCUGGCCCUUCAUGACCCUUCAUGGCCCUUCCUGACCCUUCAUGGCCCUUCCUGGCUCUUCAUGACCCUUCAUGCCUCCUGUGGUUCUUUGUGCGACACGUGUACAAACUAUUUUUUGAUACUUAUUUUUGCUAAAUUAGUAUUUAAAUUAGAGUGAUCUAAAUAUGUACACAAGAGGUAUGUAAGUACACUAUGUACUGUAUAUAAGUACACAAGAGGUAUAUAAGUACACUAUGCACUGUAUAUAAGUACACAGGAGGUAUAUAAGUACACUAUGUACUGUAUAUAAGUACACAGGAGGUAUAUAAGUACACAAUAGGUAUAUAAGUACACUAUGUACUGUAUAUAAGUACACAAGAGGUAUAUAAGUACACUAUGUACUGUAUAUAAGUACACUAUGCACUGUAUAUAAGUACACAGGAGGUAUAUAAGUACACUAUGUACUGUAUAUAAGUACACAGGAGGUAUAUAAGUACACAAGAGGUAUAUAAGUACACUAUGUACUGUAUAUAAGUACACUAUGCACUGUAUAUAAGUACACAGGAGGUAUAUAAGUACACUAUGUACUGUAUAUAAGUACACAGGAGGUAUAUAAGUACACUAUGUACUGUAUAUAAGUACACAGGAGGUAUAUAAGUACACAGGAGGUAUAUAAGUACACUAUGUACUGUAUAUAAGUACACAAGAGGUAUAUAAGUACACAGGAGGUAUAUAAGUAUACUAUGUACUGUAUAUAAGUACACAAGAGGUAUAUAAGUACACUAUGUACUGUAUAUAAGUACACAAGAGGUAUAUAAGUAUACUAUAUACUGUAUAUAAGUACACAGGUAUAUAAGUACACAGGAGCAGAUAUUCAACCAAAGUCUUUGUACAGAUUUAAACCGCAAAUAUUUCAAAAGCAAAAGAUCCUGUUUGAAAUGUUUAUGAAACAUUAUUUUCUCUUCAUGUUGGCAUGCGCCGUUAAAUAAGGGGAGGAGUCAGAGUGAGUGUGUGUGUGUGUGUCUGUGUGAGUGUGUGUCUGUGUAUAUUAUUUGUUUAACCAUUAAAUAUCUACGAUGUUACACUA